rnacentral:rRNA from 1 species
UACGAAGGGGGCUAGCGUUGCUCGGAAUGACUGGGCGUAAAGGGCGCGUAGGCGGUUUGGACAGUCAGAUGUGAAAUUCCUGGGCUCAACCUGGGGGCUGCGUUUGAUACGUGCGGACUUGAGUGCGGAAGAGGGUCGUGGAAUUCCCAGUGUAGAGGUGAAAUUCGUAGAUAUUGGGAAGAACACCGGUGGCGAAGGCGGCGACCUGGUCCGAUACUGACGCUGAGGCGCGAAAGCGUGGGGGAGCAAACAGG